UUGAGAGUAAGCUAAUAAUAAGCUGUCUGAUUCAUGCUCAGAAGAUAGAAUUGAGUUUCUCUCUCGAA
rnacentral:tRNA from 1 species